CAGCACAGUCUCUUGAGAACACAGUCCUUGUGGACUCUAAAGGACUGUCAUGGUAGAAAUUUAAAUAAGGAAAAAGAAAAUCCAUAUGAGUCACUUCUCCUUACAGUGGCCAAGUCUUGGGGAGAUGGCAACCAUUCCAGGCACUGUGGCAGGCACAAAAGGAAAACGGAAUAGAACUGAGAUCCUGGCCCUUGAACGGUUUCUCUUUUAACGUGGGGGACAAAGGUAGACAAAUGAGGAAGUAAAUAAUGUGGGAAGACUUGGCGAAGAGUGUCCUCCUCCAUCAUAUGCCCUCUUCACCAUGAUGUUCUAUCUCACGACAGCCUCGAAAGCAACUGGGCCAACCAUGGGCUGACAAAACUUUGAGCAGAAGUAAGCCUUCCCUCCUGUAACCGGACAUCCUCAGUUAUUUUGUUACAGCGACAGGAAGCUAGCAUUUAUCCUCGAUUUUUGUUGUGCUAAUUAAAAGCCUCAUGGCUUUAGCAAAGUAUAAUUAACACUUAAUGAACUGCACACAUUUAAAGUGCAUUAUUAAUGACUUUAAGCACGUGUCUAUACCCCUUAGCUUAUUGGCCAACUCCUUUCAAUGUUUCUUCCUGCCCCUUCAUAGUGAUUUCCCAUCUCUGGACUGAUCUACUUUUUGUAAUGUGGACAAGGGCAGAUUUCAUGGAACCAUAUAUAGACAGACUCCACCAGUAUGCUAUUGGCCAUUUUCUUCUUUCACACAGUAUGGUUAUUUUGAGACUUAUCUAUGUUGUACCAGUAGUGCACCCGCAAGAGUGUUGAAUAGUUGCCUCAUGUGAACAUACCAUGUCUCCUCCAUAAAUCACCUGGUAGAGAGAGGGACAUUUGUGGCUUUAUGCCUCCCCAGCCCCAGAUUUUGGUUGUUAUAAGUGAAAUUGCUGCUAGCAUUUGUGUACAGCCUUUGUGUGAGCAUAUGUUUCCAUUUGUUUUGGGUAAAUACUGGGGUGGAAUGGCUAAAUCAUAUGGCAGGCCUAUGUUUAACUUUUUAAGAAGCUGCCAAAAUGUCUUCGAAGGGGAAGCAUCAUUUUAUAUUUCAGCUGACAGCAUCUGAGGGUGUAUUUCAGGUCCCUGAGAUCCUCGCAGGCAUUUGGUGUGGUCAGCCUUUUUAUUGCAGCCACUCUAGUGGGUGUGCGGUGACACUGCCUAGCGAGUCUUAAUUUGCAUCUCUCUCGUGUUGUCACAAGACUGAGUACCUUUUCAGUGCAGGACUUUCCUGGGAGAGUGUACACUUAAAUAUCUUUCUGUUUUUAAUUUGGGUCGUGUGUAUUCCUUGCCUUGUUAUAAAAGCUCCGUGUGUAUUCUAGGUGCCUGUCUUGCCUCAGAUAAAUCGAUACAGUUUUCCCUGCUCCCUGUCUGCGGCCUGCCUUUUGGAGGGUUUCUUAUGCUUCAUACGGAAGUCAAAUUAUUCUUACAUCUUGUGUUGACAAGAUUAUCCUUCCCUCACUACACUGCCUUGGACCUUUUUACUAAAAAAAAAAAAAACAAACCACCAACCCUCCCCACUCCAAAAUACCCUCACCAAAACACGAUCUACAUAUUGACUGUGUUCUGACCCUCACCAAAUCACCAUCUAUAUGUAUCAGCUGCGUUCUGGCCUCUGCUUCGUUCUGUUGGUCAGCUCACUCUGUCCUGGCGACUGAGGCUUUUAAAGCCUUGCAAACAGCUCACGUGUGUCUUCCAAGCUUGUCCCUCAAGGUGGCUCUGGCUAGCUUUGCCACCUCGUCGUACUCCUGCGUAGAGCUCAGAAUCAGAUCCCUGGCUUCUGCCUGCUUCCUGUGGGAUGACGGCUCCUAU